AUGGCCACACCAAGCCUCGUACUACCAAAGGAACUACCAUAUGAAUUUUUGAAGAAAAUCACGGAUGACUUCUCCGAUGACCGUAAAAUUAGUGAUAGUCCAUUUGGAAUACUUUAUAAGGGAAUUAAUCCAGAUGAUGGCAAAGUGAUUGCUGUGAAGAAACUUCAAGAAAACGCACCGAUGCCACCUAACAAAGCAUUUGCGCAAGAGGUUCAGAAUGUUAUGGCGCUCAAACAUGAUAACAUAGUACAGUUGGUUGGAUUCUGCAGUGAAACAACAAAGAGAUUGGUGCAGUUUGAUAAAAGAUAUAUCCAGGCAGACAUUACCGAAAGUUUAAUCUGUUAUGAAUAUUUACCCAAUGGGAGCCUUCAAAAGAAUCUUUUUGGAACCAAAGGUGACAAGGUUGUCUCUUCGGUCAAACCUGAUAUUGAUUGGGACACACGCUUCACAAUAAUCAAGGGGAUCUGCCAUGGUUUACGUUUUCUACACAAGUUGGAUAUUCCCAUCAUACAUAUGGAUUUGAAGCCUGAAAAUAUACUUUUGGAUGCAAAUAUGGUGCCAAAGAUCGCAGACUUUGCACUUUCUCGGGUCUUUGGCCAAGAACAAACACGAUUGUGCACACAAACAGUUGUGGGAUCAUAUGGGUACAUGGCUCCAGAAUAUUUAUAUAGAGGUGAAACCUCGGCCCAGUCAGACAUAUAUAGUUUAGGAUUGGUGAUAAUCGAGAUCACCACGGGAGAGCAGAAUUGCCCUGAAAAAGACCAACCAUCUGCAAGAAAUUUUAUUGAUAAAGUACGUGAAAAGUGGACAAAGGAGGAGCACAUAGCAUCCAAGUACCCAUCGUUAGAGUAUGGUUGCCUCCAGCAAGUAUUAGCAUGCAUCAAUAUUGGGCUGAAAUGUGUUGCGAUUGAUCGGAAACUCAGGCCUUCGAUUGUCGACAUUGUUGACAUGCUCAAUGGACUAGGUUCAAGAUGA
rnacentral:rRNA from 1 species